GCGUUUUCUGAAUCAAGUUCCACUCUUCUCAAAUCACUGGCUCUGGUUGUUAACAUAAAAUGAGCCAGAACACAAGAGGAAGCAGUGAUGGAGCUCCAGUCUGAGGCAGGAAGCCUGGGAUUUCCUGGAGUCACUGGGGCCACAGCCAUCAAAUCCUGCCGGCCUCCUCACCAAAGCAUAUUAUGAUUUAUCUGCUGUUCCAGUGACUUCCCUCCUGGGCCAGCAGUGUCACCUGCAUGUCACCCUGCCCACCUGCAGAGGCAGUCUUCUACAAGUCCUCAUCCUCCAUGGUCCACUACCAGCAGAGCUUGUUUGAAGGGGCAGAUGAUGUUGUUACCUGGCAGCCCCUGCAGCUGUCAUCCAUACAGCUCCCUUGAUGUACCAUCUGCUCCAGCUCUGGCUCAUUUUCAGGCAAGUUUCUUGUCUCUCCUUCCUAUUACAGGAACUUCCAGGGAUCACCUUUCACAGUCCUCUGUACCCCCAAAUCUGGGACAUCCCUGCUGGUCCUCUUUGCCUAAUAGCACUUCCUGGGUCAGAGACUUCACCAUGGCUCAGACCACUGCAAUAGCUGUCUUUUCGUGUCAUGGAACAACAGACAAGGUCCAUUCAGGAACAGAAUCUCAAAUCCCCAUUCCUGCCCUGUCCCCCUCCCUUCGUGCUAUGCCUCUAGUUACUCUAUACCCGCCCAGCAAGCUUUCAUUUCGUCUCCUACUGUGCCUUCUGCCUAGGGCACCAUCCACACUCAGAUCCCAUCCCCCA